AUUGAACGCUGGCGGCAGGCCUAACACAUGCAAGUCGAACGGUAACAGGAAGAAGCUUUCUUCUUUGCUGACGAGUGUCGGACGGGUGAGUAAUGUCUGGGAAACUGCCUGAUGGAGGGGGAUAACUACUGGAAACGGUAGCUAAUACCGCAUAACGUCGCAAGACCAAAGAGGGGGACCUUCUGGCCUCUUGCCAUCUGAUGUGCCCAGAUGGGAUUAGCUAGUAGGUGGGGUAACGGCUCACCUAGGCGACGAUCCCUAGCUGGUCUGAGAGGAUGACCAGCCACACUGGAACUGAGACACGGUCCAGACUCCUACGGGAGGCAGCAGUGGGGAAUAUUGCACAAUGGGCGCAAGCCUGAUGCAGCCAUGCCGCGUGUAUGAAGAAGGCCUUCGGGUUGUAAAGUACUUUCAGCGGGGAGGAAGGGAGUAAAGUUAAUACCUUUGCGCAUUGACGUUACCCGAAGAAGAAGCACCGGCUAACUCCGUG
rnacentral:rRNA from 1 species